CAUUUCCAAGGAACAUAGGAGCUGAGGUUGUACGAUGCUUUUUACGAGCCAACAUUUACGACUGAAGAAAACAUUGAGCAACGUCUGCCUGGAAUUGAUCGAGAGUAUUGGAGAUGGUUCCUUAACUAUCGUACCGAAGAGGAGACAAAGGAGAAGUGCAGGAAAAACGCGGCUAAUCGAUCAAAGCAACUAUAUACCCACACUGGUGGUUCGAAAAGCUUUGCACGACGGAUAGAAGAAGAGUCGAAAGAACAAGGGAGAAGAGUCGGUAGAGGAGAGUUAUGGAUCAAAGUGCACAAAAAAAAUGAUGGCUCCUAUAUCAAUGAUGAAGCAAGAGUAAUUGGUGAAAGAAUUGAGGAGAUUAAGCAACAAGAUGAGUCUUCUAGAUUGUUGUCUCAAAAUGAUUUCAUUGCUCAGGUUUUCAU